GGAAUAUAUGAUUGUUUUGGCUACCGGAGUAGAUCUCAAAUCGAAACUUAGAUUAAUUUCCAACAGAAAUUAACCACAAUAAAAUUGAUCCAUGAAAUUGAUCCAAACGACGAGUCUUCAACAGAAAACAUAAUUUUGUGAUUCGAACCCAUGACCUUCAAGACAAAUCCACAUAUACAUUACCAAUUGAUUCAAUUGUUUUAUU